rnacentral:lncRNA from 1 species
AUGAGAUGUUCCUCAUCUCUACCCAUCCCUGGUGCCUGCUGCUUUCAAAGGCCCCUCCUAGCUCCAUAUUUCCAAACAGUAUCUAGGUUUCCUAAAAGUGCCCUCCUCUACCUCUUCCUCUUCUCUUCUUCCUCUUCUCUUCCUCUUCCUCCUCUUCUCUUCUUCCUCUUCUCGUCUCUUCCUCUUCUCUUCUUUCUCCUCUUCCUCUUCUCUUCUUUUUCUUCCUCCUCUUCCUCUCCCCCCUCCCCCAUCUCACAGCCUUCUCCAGACUCCCAGCCUCACUGGGGGGCCCUGGGAUGCUCUGCAGUGACUGGGUACCUCCUCACAGGCACAAUUUCUGCUUUGUGUACACAGCAGUGAGGCCUCUCCCUGGCCUGCUGCCCAGGUUGCUGUGGGGCCGUGGAUGAAGAGAAGGGCUCAGCUGCUGCCCCCAUCUUCCCUUGUUUGUCUGGCAGGAGUCCGUGUCACUGCUACAAAGAGUCCUGUGGGGUUAUGGGAGGUGAAGGACCGAGGAAAAUGUCAGGGAUAAGUUCAUUCCUUGGCCCUUUCAGAGCAGCCUCACACUCUUCUGUACCCCCUUUCACAGGGCCAGAGACCCGAAAGGACCCUUUAGUGGUCAUCUAAUGCAACCUGGCCAUUUUACAAAUGAAGAAACUGAGGCUCGGUGACUUACUGAAAACCACUGGGAGAAGGAGCAAACCUGACCCUCAAACUCAGAACCUCUGAAUGUAAUUCUAGUCCUUCAUCCCUGUGUAUCUUUCAGCUGAUUAAUGAUGCUAUAGUAAUAGUGAUGAUGAUGAUAACACUGGCCUUCAUCUAGCACUUUUAGAUGUAUUGGCUCAUCAGAGCCUCACAAGUACAUGGUAGGGUAGCUGGUAUACACAUGAGUUUCCCACUUUGACAGAUGGGGAAACUGAGGCUCUAGGAAUGAAAGUCAGGGAUUUGCCUCUAUUAUAAUUAUUGUAGAUUUAUUAUAGAUUUAUUAGGGUAAAUGAAGUAAUUAUAUGUCUCUCUGAUCCUGGAUCUAUUCUCUACCCACAUACUACACUGUCUGUCAGUAUGAGUAAGAUAA